GGGCACGGCCGAAGGCUCCCGGGUGGAUGCCAGUGGGAGGGCGCUGGGCCUUGGCCCGCCCGGCAGAGCUUCAUCCGCCUCCUUGUGGGCCAGUCGGGUGGGUCCCUCACGCUCUCGGCCUCUUGGCCCGGCCUGGGGCGGACACGGCCCCCCGGACCCUCCAGCCUGGAAGAGACCACGGGGUCUAAGCUGCUGACUUGCGUGCUUGGGUUCCUGCUUGCAUCUCUUGCAAGAUCUCUUGCAGCUCGAGAUCUCCCAUGGCAGCCGAGCAGGGCCUUGGAGUCUCGGAGGGUUCUAGAGUUCUUGAGCCCUGUGUAGUCAGGAUCCCGGGGUGGGGUGGCAUGAGGGGGGCAGGUCAGCAGGCCCCCUGCCCAGAUAGGCCCCCUACAGGCUCCCUGGUUCUCCGGUUUCACUCCUCUCUGCUCCCCCCACCCUCCCCAAACUCCUGGGCACUCCCCACCCCCAUGUCUCUGCUUUGCUCCUCUGGUCCUUACCCUCCUGUCCCCGCCCAGGUCCCUCUCACUGCCAUCCUACUCUAGACAGGCUCCCUGGUUCACCCCCCUGCCCCAGCCGCUCCCUCAGCUCCCCGCCCUCAGGCAACACACCCUGGGCCUCCGACAAGUGCUCUCGUGCUGUUGUGUUGCUGACAUCUGUGAAACAUCUGGCUCUGCCUCGCCUCUCCCCGGCAGGGCCAGGCAGGAGGGAAGGGGGUACCUGGGCCCCCUGCGGACAGGGUAGCCCCGUCCUUGGGAUCCUUGGGCCGCAGGAGAGAGUGGGGAUUUUAUUUAUUGAUCCAUGAGAGACACAGAGAGAGAGAGGCAGAGACACAGGCAGAGGGAGAAGCAGGCUCCUUCACCUGGACCCGGGACCACGACGACCUGAGCCACCCAGGUGCCCCAAGAUAGGGCUUUUCUCACGAAGAUCGUGGGCCUCACGUGUGGAGAUACCUGGCCCUGGGCUGAAUCUCAGUUCUCCGUGGAGCUGUCGAUAAAUUGCCUUACCUCGGUGGUGUUGUCUAUACAAUGGGUAUAACAAUCCCACCUGCCGGGUCUCACGGGGACUCGGUGAGAUAACGAAUCUGUGUAACCCUCAGCACAGGACCAGCCAUGGAGGGGGCGCCCCACGGAGGCGCAGGCGGAGGGAGGCCCGGGGCUACCACUGAGCAUCCAAGAGGUGAGGUCAGGCCAAGCAAGCAGCUGCGCAGGAGGAAGCCGCCCCCGCAUCGGCCCCAUGGCCAGUCUCUAGGACAAGGCCACCAGUGCCCCAAGGACAAGGGUGGGGGGCGGGACCCCAAGAGGGUGGGAUUGGGCCCCGGGCCUGAGUGGGCUCCGCAGAGGCCCGCUUGCUGUUUCGGGGCAACUGAAUAGCACCCACGCUGUCAGGCAGCUGCCUUCCCUCAGAUGGUCCCAAACCUGCGUGUGACUUGGUACGAGGCCCUCCGCUCUCUUGCUGGUUUCUUCUGGAAAACAAGGAGAACCGAGCUUGCUUUCUGUCUGAGGACCUUCCGAAGGGGCGCAUGGUGCUUGGUGUGAUGUGAGAGGCUGGAUCCAGGCCAGAUUUUAAUUAUUUAUUCAUGAGAGACACAGAGAGAAGCAGAGACACAGGCAGAGGGAGAAGCAGGCCCCAUGCAAGGAGCCCGAUGGGGGACUUGAUCCCAGGACCCUGGGGUCACGCCCUGAGCCGAAGGCAGACGCUGGACCGCUGAGCCCCCAGGGGCCCCGCACCUUAGGUUGUAUUCGCUGCUCCCUCCGAAGUGCUCCUGCCGCAGGAACUGGCUCAAUCCCCAGAAUCUGUACCGCAAGGCCACAGAGGAUGGUGACGAGGAGCACGGGCUCCAGACGCUGGCAGGCCCGGGCUCUGGCUCCGAUGCUGACUUGCUGUGCAACGGUGGACGAGUCCGUGUCUCGGAGCCACCGGGUCCUCAGCCAGAAAGAAGGGGUCAUAACGGGGCCCGCGACCGGGGUCAUGGGAGAAGGAGCGCAGGCUGCGAGCUGCCCAGGCCCUCCCUGCCCGAGCUCCCUGCCUGGGCCCACAUCCGCCGGCCGGAAGGGUCAGCACCUCUGGGGCAGGCAUCUCACUGAGAUGCAAGUGGUUUGGGUUUUCUUUUUAAUAAUUUUUCAUUUUGCAACAUUUAGGUGUUCACAGGAAACAGCCAAGAGGUGCCCCCCACGUAGCCUUCAUGGACUUCCCCCAGUGGCUGUACCUUCCCCAGUCGAGAGUACAGCCUCAAAGCCAGGACGUGACACUGGGACACUGUGUGUUCCUGCGCUAUUUUGUCGCGUGUGUAGAUGACGGAACCGCUAUGGAACUGGCAAAAGAACUGUGUCACCACAAAGAUCUCCCCGGAUCCUCUUCUACCGUCACGCCCAUCCCCCCCGCCCCCCCAACCCUCACCCCCAGCAACCACUAAUCUGCUCUCCGGCUCUAUAAUUUUGUCAUUUUAAGAAUGUCGUAUAAAUGGAAGCAUGCACUAUGUGACCUUUCGAGAUUGUCUUUCUUUGCUCAUCGUAAUGCCCUUGAGAUCCAUCCAAGUUGCUGCGUGUGCCAAGAGUUCGAUCGUGUUUCUUGCGGAGUGGUGUUCCGCGGUAUAGACGUGCCGCGGCUGGUUUACCCAUUCACUUGUUGACGGGCGUUUCGGUUGUUUCCAGUUCCGUGUAGAGCUGCUACAGGCGUCGUGUAGAGAGUUUUGCGUGGACACAGGUUUUCACUUCUCCGGGAUAAGCGUUCAGGAGUGCAAGUGCUGGGUUGUACGGUAAAUGCAGGUGUCGUUUGUAAGAAACUGCCACCCGGUGAGAGAUCCAGUUUCUCUGCCUCUUGGGAGCAUUGAAUGCCGCCCCCACGUUUUUCACUGUGGCUGUUCCAAUAGGUGCGCGGUGAGAUCUCGCCAGGUUUUCAUGUGCUGCCUCCCUAAUGAGUAGGGAUAGUGGGCAUCCUCUCGUGUCCUCGUCCUCCGUCUGCAUACCCCCUCUGGUGAAAUGUGGCUUCCUGCCUUUGGCUCACUUUCUCCUUAGAGCAUUUGCUUUUUUACUGUUUUGAGUUCAAGAGCACUUGAUGCACUCUAUGAAGACAUCCUUGGUCACGUAGGUGGUUUGCAGAUCAUUUCUCUGCGGCUGCAACUUGUCAUUUCAUGCUCCUAAUGCAUCUUUUGCAAAGCAAAGGCUUUUUUUUUUUUAAAUGUUGAUCAAGAUCAAUGUAUCACUUUUAAAAAUUUUUUUUAAGUUCUAUUUUUAUUUUUAAAGAUUUUAUUUGUUU